rnacentral:rRNA from 1 species
UUAAUACCCAAUCCUGACACAGGGAGGUAGUGACAAGAAAUAACAAUACAGGGCUUUCGUCUUGUAAUUGGAAUGAUGGUGAUGUACAACCUCACCAGAGUACCAAUUGGAGGGCAAGUCUGGUGCCAGCAGCCGCGGUAAUUCCAGCUCCAAUAGCGUAUAUUAAACUUGUUGCAGUUAAAAAGCUCGUAGUUGUAUUUCAGCCUCGCGUUUUUUCCCUCCUUUUGGGUCUUUUCGCUGGCUUUGUUUUUACUUUGAGAAAAUUAGAGUGUUUCAAGCAGACUUUUGUCUUGAAUACUUCAGCAUGGAAUAAUAGAGUAGGACCUUGGUUCUAUUUUGUUGGUUUUGAGCCUUGGUAAUGGUUAAUAGGAACGGUUGGGGGCAUUCGUAUUUAAA